AUGAACCUUUGAGGGUUGAGUUGGCGUUUAUUCGCAUGUGCUUGCCCUCUCAUCCUUUAUACACCUGCUGCACUUUUGAAGGGAGACAUUAGUAGACAUUCAGCUUGUCGAAGGUAUCUCCCUUUACACUACAUACUCUAAUGAUUACUUUGAAUGUUUAAACGCUUAACAGCAUUUAAUUA
rnacentral:misc_RNA from 1 species